GUUAUUUGUCAUAUAUCAGAAAUUCUCCAGCAGAAAGACUCUAAAAAGCAUCAGCUCUAAUACAAACUCAAAAGCAGUCUCUUUAAUGUUUCAUUAAGAUUUAUCAUUUUUACUAGAAUGCAAAAUAUACCCGCCUUCCUCUAAUAAGUCAUGAAAAUAUUUAACAAAACACAAU